GACGUAGGGCGCGAGCGUUGUCCGGAUUUAUUGGGCGUAAAGAGCUCGUAGGCGGCUCGUUGCGUCGGCUGUGAAAACCCGCAGCUCAACUGUGGGCUUGCAGCCGAUACGGGCGGGCUGGAGUUCGGUAGGGGAGACUGGAAUUCCUGGUGUAGCGGUGAAAUGCGCAGAUAUCAGGAGGAACACCGGUGGCGAAGGCGGGUCUCUGGGCCGACACUGACACUGAGAGACGAAAGCUAGGGGAGCAAAUGGG
rnacentral:rRNA from 1 species